rnacentral:rRNA from 1 species
AACGAACGCUGGCGGCAUGCCUAACACAUGCAAGUCGAACGAUACCUUCUGGUACUUUUGCGCACGGGUUCAGCACGCGUCGGGACCGUCCCUUAUGGUCGGAAUACCUCCCCGAAGGGGGUGCUAAUACCAGAUGAUUGCUUCUACCGAAAGAUUUAUCUGCUUUGGAUGGUUCCGCGUUAGAUUAGCUAUUUCGUAAGAUAAAAGCCUACCAAGGCGAUGUUCCCUAGCUGGUCUGGGAACAUGAUCCACCACCCUGGGACUGGGACACGGCGCGGACUCCUGCGGGAAGCAGAAGUGGGGAAUAUUGGACGCUGCGCGAAAGCAUGAUGCAGCAGUGUCGCGAAAGUGAUGAAGGAGUUAGGGUUGUAAAGCUCUUUUAACCGCGCUGAUAAUGACAGUACCGAGCGAAAAAGCGACGGCUAACUACGUG